rnacentral:rRNA from 1 species
GACGAACGCUGGCGGCGUGCUUAACACAUGCAAGUCGAACGGAAAGGCCCUGCUUUUGUGGGGUGCUCGAGUGGCGAACGGGUGAGUAACACGUGAGUAACCUGCCCUUGACUUUGGGAUAACUUCAGGAAACUGGGGCUAAUACCGGAUAGGAGCUCCUGCUGCAUGGGGGGGGUUGGAAAGUUUCGGCGGUUGGGGAUGGACUCGCGGCUUAUCAGCUUGUUGGUGGGGUAGUGGCUUACCAAGGCUUUGACGGGUAGCCGGCCUGAGAGGGUGACCGGCCACAAUGGGACUGAGAUACGGCGCAGACUCCUACGGGAGGCAGCAGUGGGGAAUAUUGCACAAUGGGCGGAAGCCUGAUGCAGCAACGCCGCGUGCGGGAUGACGGCCUUCGGGUUGUAAACCGCUUUCGCCUGUGACGAAGCGUGAGUGACGGUAAUGGGUAAAGAAGCACCGGCUAACUACGUG